rnacentral:misc_RNA from 1 species
CCGAAGUACAGGCCCCUUUACGGGGCUACACUUCCACCCUUUGUUUACUAUUCUUUGUUGCUUUGGCGAGACGUCCUCGGACCACCGGCCCCUUGGGGCUGGCGCGCGCUCGCCAGAGGAAAAUCAAACCCAAACCUUUUUUAGUGUUGUCUGAGAAACAAGUUUAAUUAUUA